rnacentral:rRNA from 1 species
GGCGGACGGGUGAGUAACACGUGGAUAACCUACCUAUAAGACUGGGAUAACUUCGGGAAACCGGAGCUAAUACCGGAUAAUAUUUUGAACCGCAUGGUUCAAAAGUGAAAGACGGUCUUGCUGUCACUUAUAGAUGGAUCCGCGCUGCAUUAGCUAGUUGGUAAGGUAACGGCUUACCAAGGCAACGAUGUAUAGCCGACCUGAGAGGGUGAUCGGCCACACUGGAACUGAGACACGGUCCAG